CACACAUACACAAUGACACACACACACACACACACACACACUGAUUGUUCACUUUCUCGUCGCCUUCUUAACGACACGUUUAUUUCAAAGGUUUAAAGGGACUGAAGAACAAACUGGUCAGUGUUUAUUUUUGAUUUUAGACUUUUUUGUGCUUUAUUUGAUUUUAUUAAACUUUAUUUAGAUUUUGCUGUGUGAGGAGCUGAUGCUGUCGGUCUAAACUUUAAUCAUCUGUAACUCUGUACAUUCCCACGUUAGACGAGGUGUGUGUGUGUGUGUGUGUGUGUGUGUGUGUGUGUGUGUGUGUGUGUGUGUGUGUGUGUGUGUGUCUGUCAGUGUGCGUGUCUGUCUGUGUGUGCGUGUGUGUGUGUGUGUGUUUGGAUCUCUGUUACUGGGAGCUGGUGAUAAACUGGCUCCACGUCCUCUCUUGCUCAUAACUGGGACUCUGACCGACACCUCCUCCGUCCACUGCUGGUUUAUGGUUGGAGAAGUUUGACUUUAACUGAUGCACUGAAGACGAACUUUGAAAGGAGAGGCGUGACAUCUGUGAUUGGCUCUAAGGAGCUCGUCUCCUUUUUAACUGGUACACUGUAGCCUGUGGUGUGUCUGUACGUCGCUGUGUGUUUCCUGUAUCCACUGAUGUAAACGAUCUCAGUAAAUCCAUAUUAAAGAGAAAAACUCGCGUCCUCGCCUUCUUCCUCUGUGGAGGCCGAGCAGCCGUUUGAGUUACGGCUCCUUCACAGCGUAUCUGUGUCCGUCCCACAGCAGGUUUGGAUCUUUAGUGGAAUUUAUUUAAAGCUUGAAGCAGCUUUUAUACCAUUUACGGCCUGCACACAUCCUUGUUCCCUCUCUUUCUCCAUAAUGUGUUCGUGCU